rnacentral:rRNA from 1 species
CCUACGGGAGGCAGCAGUGAGGAAUAUUGGUCAAUGGCCGCAGGUCUGAACCAGCCAAGUCGCGUGAGGGAUGACUGUCCUAUGGAUUGUACACCUCUUUUGUCAGGGAGUAAAGGGCGCCACGUGUGGCGUUUUGCGAGUACCUUAAGAAAAAGCAUCGGCUAACUCCGUGCCAGCAGCCGCGGUAAUACGGAGGAUGCGAGCGUUAUCCGGAUUUAUUGGGUUUAAGGGGUGCGAGGGGGGAAUGUCAAGUCAGCGGUAAAAUUUCGGGGCUAAACCCAGUAGUGCAGUUGAAACUGGCGUUCUUGAGUACACUAGAAGUAGGCGGAAUGCGUGGGGUAGCGGUGAAAUGCAUAGAUAUCACGCAGAACUCCGAUUGCGAAGGCAGCAUACCGGAGCUCAACUGACGCUCAUGCGCGAAAGCGUGGGUAUCGAACAGGAUUAGAUACCCGGGUAGUC